rnacentral:lncRNA from 1 species
UUCAUGUUGUUGAGUGUAGUUCAAGUAGAGAGGGUAAAUUAGGUAGUCAAGUUUUCUACUAUCAUGUUGAGUGAGGUUCUAAAAGUCAAAAUAAUCUAUCCCUGUUCCUCAUCGGCAUCAUUUGAUAUCAGAGCUUUGGCUCUUAGUGAACCUACUAUUUUUAUUGCUUUAGCAUAUUGCGCUUUGCAUAAAUUAGCAAUUAAAAUUACUUAUUGCUAAUUCAUAUUGCAUCUCACUUGAAUUCAUCCUAUUCGU